CCUACGGUGGGCAGCAGUGGGGAAUAUUGGACAAUGGGCGAAAGCCUGAUCCAGCCAUGCCGCGUGUGUGAAGAAGGCCUUCGGGUUGUAAAGCACUUUCAGUGGGGAAGAAAGCCUUGGGGCUAAUACCCUCGAGGAAGGACAUCACCCCCAGAAGAAGCCCCGGCUAACUCCGUGCCAGCAGCCGCGGUAAUACGGAGGGUGCGAGCGUUAAUCGGAAUUACUGGGCGUAAAGCGCGCGUAGGCGGUCUGAUAAGCCGGUUGUGAAAGCCCCGGGCUCAACCUGGGAACGGCAUCCGGAACUGUCAGGCUAGAGUGCAGGAGAGGAAGGUAGAAUUCCCGGUGUAGCGGUGAAAUGCGUAGAGAUCGGGAGGAAUACCAGUGGCGAAGGCGGCCUUCUGGACUGACACUGACGCUGAGGUGCGAAAGCGUGGGUAGCAAACAGGAUUAGAUACCCCUGUAGUC
rnacentral:rRNA from 1 species